GACGAACGCUGGCGGCGUGCUUAACACAUGCAAGUCGAGCGGUAAGGCCCUUUCGGGGGUACACGAGCGGCGAACGGGUGAGUAACACGUGGGUGACCUGCCCUCAGCUCUGGGAUAAGCCUGGGAAACCGGGUCUAAUACCGGAUAUGACUCCAUGACGCAUGUUGUGGGGUGGAAAGCCUUGUGCGGCUGAGGAUGGGCCCGCGGCCUAUCAGCUUGUUGGUGGGGUGAUGGCCUACCAAGGCGACGACGGGUAGCCGGCCUGAGAGGGCGACCGGCCGCACUGGGACUGAGACACGGCCCAGACUCCUACGGGAGGCAGCAGUGGGGAAUCUUGCGCAAUGGGCGAAAGCCUGACGCAGCGACGCCGCGUGAGGGAUGACGGCCUCGGUGUC
rnacentral:rRNA from 1 species